UACGAAGGGGGGCUAGCGUUGCUCGGAUUGACUGGGCGUAAAGGGCGCGUAGGCGGUUCGUACAGUCAGACGUGAAAUUCCUGGGCUCAACCUGGGGGCUGCGUUUGAUACGUGCGGACUUGAGUGCGGAAGAGGGUCGUGGAAUUCCCAGUGUAGAGGUGAAAUUCGUAGAUAUUGGGAAGAACACCGGUGGCGAAGGCGGCGACCUGGUCCGAUACUGACGCUGAGGCGCGAAAGCGUGGGGAGCAAACAGGAUUGAGAAACCC
rnacentral:rRNA from 1 species